rnacentral:rRNA from 1 species
GUAACGGGUGAGUAACACGUAUCUAACCGUACCAUUUAAGUGGGGAAUAACUGUUGGAAACGACAGCGUAAUACCGCAAUAUGUUAUUUAUUUGCAAUGAUAAAUAAUGAAAGGAGCAUUUGCUUCGCUAAUUGAUGGGGAUGCGGCGCAUUAACUAGUUGGGUAAGGUAAUGGCUUACCAAGGUAACAAUGCGUAGCCGAUCUGAGAAAGGAUGAACGGCCACAUUGGGACUGAGACACGGCCCAA